AUGCCCUAGUAACGGCGAGUGAAGCGGCAACAGCUCAAAUUUGAAAUCUGGCCCUCGGGUCCGAGUUGUAAUUUGUAGAGGAUGAUUUUGGUUAGGUACCUUCCGAGUUCCUUGGAACAGGACGCCUUAGAGGGUGAGAGCCCCGUACGGUUGGAUGCCGAGCCUCUGUAAAUCUCCUUCGACGAGUCGAGUAGUUUGGGAAUGCUGCUCUAAAUGGGAGGUAAAUUUCUUCUAAAGCUAAAUACCGGCCAGAGACCGAUAGCGCACAAGUAGAGUGAUCGAAAGAUGAAAAGCACUUUGAAAAGAGGGUUAAAUAGUACGUGAAAUUGUUGAAAGGGAAGGGCUUGUGACCAGACCUUUGCCUUGCGGAUCAUCCGGUGUUCUCACCGGUGCACUCCGCUUGGUUGAGGCCAGCAUCAGUUUCGGCGGCGGGAUAAAGACUUCAGGAACGUGACUCCCCCGGGAGUGUUAUAGCCUGCUGUGUAAUACCGCCGCUGGGACUGAGGACCGCGCUUCGGCUAGGAUGCUGGCAUAAUGGUCAUCAGCCACCCGUCUUGAAACACGGACCAAGGAGUCGAACAUUUAUGCGAGUUUUUGGGUGUUAAACCCUCAAGCGUAAUGAAAGUGAACGGAGGUGAGAGCCCUUACGGGUGCAUCAUCGACCGAUCCUGAUGUCUUCGGAUGGAUUUGAGUAAGAGCAUAACUGUUCGGACCCGAAAGAUGGUGAACUAUGCGUGGAUAGGGUGAAGCCAGAGGAAACUCUGGUGGAGGCUCGCAGCGGUUCUGACGUGCAAAUCGAUCGUCAAAUCUGCGCAUGGGGCGAAAGACUAAUCGA
rnacentral:rRNA from 1 species